rnacentral:lncRNA from 1 species
AAAAAAGGAAAUAGAGAGAAUCUGUUUGGCUUCAUUAACCAUUAUCCUGAAUAGAGGGCCUCUUUUAGGCAGGUAUUUCAGGCUCAGCCAGCUCAUUGGCUGGCGCCAUUCCUGUUCCAGUCAGCCAUGGCCAGUGGAUAGAAACACACACUACAGAACAUGGCAGCCACGCUGAGGAAGUACCUUUCACCAUGUGGUAGACACUCAGAGACUGCUCUGAAAAGGAUGGGAAUCGCUUCCUCUCUCGACUUUCCUUGACACAACUUGCUCAGGAGGAAUGCAAAGGAUGGGUGGGAUCUUCCCCAGCAUGAGAGUGAAAGGAAGCCACAUACCAAAGAGAUGACGGUGGCACAAGAAAUGCUGCAGCUGCUAAUUCCACCUCCACCCUGUGGGACAACUGCUUAGCAAUAUUUCAAAGGCAAAAACAAAGUACAGGAAAAAAGAAAAAAAAUGGAUUUAACAACUUCCUUGACUGGAGGUCUGGAUAAGAGUGGAGCACAUUUUAAAGUGGACUUUAUGGCAGAAAUACAUGUGGCUUUACAGACAUCUGUGCCUGGGAUUCACAGAGCCCAAGUGUACAUUUGUACAUGAAGCACAAUCAGCUAUUCAAGGCAUUUGGCAAGAAACUGGAAUAUUGAUGCCAUUUCAAUAUAAUACGUGUUCAUCUCCUGUGCAUCACUAAUGCCAGUUUUACCAGAAAGCUGUAGCUGAGAAUUCCAUCCAGAAUUCUUUCUGCCAUUCUUCAUUACCAGUGCUUGAAAGGGCAGUGUCCUCCUGCUGAACUUUUAAAUUGUUAAUUUCAGAAAAAUACAUUCCCUUUCAGUUUUAUGUAACACACGAAGAGAAAAUGAGUUUAAGAGUGGAGACAGAGUGUCAUAUAUCAAUGGCUGGGAAACAAAAUUUAAAGAGAAUGAACUCAAGAGAUCUACAGCAUAAAGACUAUAGUUAAUAACAAUGUUUUACAUACUUAAAAAUUAAUAAGAGAAUCAAUUUGAAGUGUGUUCACCACAAAAAAAUGAUAGGUAUGUGAGGUAAUGCAUAUGUUGAUUAGCUUGAUAUAGCCAUUCCACAAUAUAUACGUAUUUCAAAACAUCAUGUUGUACAUAUAAAUAUAGUUUUUAUUUUGCAAUUUAAAAAAUUGUUCUCAUUUGACCUUUGUACUUCCCUGACUAUAUUUCUGUGUCUCUAUAUCCCAUUUAUCUGCUUGUCUGUCUAUCUUCACCUCAUUCACUUUCUCUUCCUUCAAGCUUUCACAUUGCAUGUCAUUGUUUGAUGGCUCUGCAGUCAGGAUGGACAAUUAAGAGACUGUUUCCCGAACAUCCACUAUGAGUUGGGUAGGAAUGUCUUUGAACUCAUGAAAAUUGCCAUCUGGAAGUGAAGACAAAUAUGAGACAUACUUAAAAGUGUGAUGAGUGUCAAGAAAAGAAAUACAUAGGAUACUCUGGAAUCAAAUAGCGAUAGUAACAGUAAUAACAACUAAGGUUAAUUCCAUGCUCACUAUGUACCCAGGCACUCUUCUCAGUGAUUUAUAUGUAUUAUUAAUUUUAAUGUACAUAUCACAUCCAUGAGGUAAUGUACUAUCACUUUCCAUUUUAUAGAUGUGAAAAUUAAAGCCCAGAGGGAUUAAAUACUUAAGUAUUUUUCCAAGGCUGCCCAGAUAGAAAGCGGUGCACUGUGAUUUGAACCAUGUGGUUUGGCUACUGCGCCUCUGUGCACUCUAAGUACACUCUUAUACACAAGAGAAUUUAGCUUGAUCUGCCUGGAGAAAGUGUACUACAGUUUAAAAUAAUAUUAAUACAUUUUGGGGAUUUAUUUGAGUACUCCUUUAAUAAAUGUGAGCAAAUAUUUUUCUCUUUAAAAAUUAAGGUAGAUUGAAAAUAAACAUAAAAUGCCUCUAAAUGUAAAGUAGUGGGAUCCUGGGAAAAAAUGGCUAUGAAGGAAACGCUAGUGCAAUUCACAUAAAGUGAGGCAUAAUGCAUCAAUAUCGGUUUCUCAGUUGUGACAAAUAUACAAUUGUAAGAUGUUAACAACAGGGGAAAAUGGGUAAGGAAUACACAGGGGUUCUCUGUAUUAUAAUAUCUUUGUAACUUUUCUGUAAAUCUAAAACUCUUCUGAAAUUAAAAAUUUACUUAAUCAAAAAAGAAACGAAAAGAAAAUAUCUGCUAGACUGAUCAACCCCCAUUAAGCAUGUAUUAGUUGCAAACUAAACAGUUCUCUAGAAAAGGCAACUCCUCUUUGGCACGUUCUCUCUGCUACUCAGGCAGGCAGCACGGCAGCAUCUUCAGCAUCUCACAGGGCAUCUGUGCCCAUUUGUUUCUUGGCCUCUUACCUGGUCAGGCCACGCAGAUCAUACAUUUUUGCAACACCAUCCUCUUUAACCUGUAUAUCAAUGUACUCAGCAUCAUUUCCUUGCCCUUUUCCUGUUCAGUAGAAACUGGUAGCCCUUGUCCUGAUUCCACCCA